GCGCACACCGCAUGGUAAGGAAACUUCACUUACUUGCGCGCGUACCUGCGCCGGCCAUUGGACCAUCCAUCCAAGCUGCAGAGAACUCUCCUCUGCCUGCGACUUACGCUGAGUCCCGUCAGCAGCACCAGCCGACUUGACCCAGCUGACAGUGAUGGUGUAUGGAUGAACAGAACAAAUGGCUGUUCAGGCCAAUGUCUAUCUUAUGAGUAUGGCUUAAGAGCAUAAGUUUGUGCCGCUCCCAUAGAGUGUCAAAACGCAUGCAUAAUCGCUGCUCCCUUUAAACUUGGGACCCCUCCCCCUUCCAUUCCAGUGACUGUUGGAGACACAGAAAUUAUACAUGUAUUUUCAAUCCUUUAUACACAUUAUAAAUGUUCUUAGUGGAAAAAGAAAUAACUAGAAAGCAUCAUCUUUAAGUGACCUGUCGAUGUCCUAGUGACUACUUGCCUUGGUUAACAACGCUCACCAUAAUCUCUCCCAUUUCUCCAUGAACAUCUGGUGGAUUCUUCACUUGACAUAGACUCAUCACUGCCUCCCGAAAGAGGGCGGAAUGUCCAGGACACGGUCACUUCCUCUCCUAGUGGUUCAGAAGAGCUAAAAGUACACUUCAGGCGGGUAUCUGUUCCAUUCUUAGCCUGGAGCUCCCUUGAGGUAUAUACUUCCAUUGAUGAGACUGUGGGAGAAAAGGAAAAUGAUAAAUAUUUAGGGAUGCACCAAAGGGAAAGUUUGGGCCCAAACCGAAAAUUUUGGCUGUGCUUGGUCAAAAACUGAAAAUGCAUUGCCCUAACCCCUUUUUUUUCUUUUUAAUAUAAUUACAUUUUAUUACUUUUUUUUUUUGGGGGGGGGGGAGGGAUGCGAUGUGACAAAAAUCUGCAAUUUUCUAGCGUUUACGCAGGAAAUCAGAAACAUAAUAGUUUAAUAGUUGGGACAAUUAUGCACGUGGCGAUACCAAAUAUGUUUAUUUUUAUUAUUUUUCAUUUUUGUUAUAUGGAAAAUGAGGAAAGGAGGGGGAUUUAAAAGGGGUAUUCCAGGAAAAUAAAAAAUAUUUUAUAUCUACUGGUUCCAGAAAGUUAUAGAGAUUUGUAAAUUACUUCCAUAAAAAAAUCUUAAUCCUUCCAAUAAUUAUCAGCUGCUGAAGUUCAGUUGUUCUUUUCUGUCUGGCAACAGUGCUCUCUGCUGACAUCGCUGCUUGUCUCGAGAACUGCACAGAGUAGAAGAGGUUUGCUAUGGGGAUUUGCUUCUGCUCUGGACAGUUCCCGAGACACCUGUCAUCAGAGAGCACUUAGACAGAAAAGAACAACUCAACUUCAGCAGCCCAUAUGUACUGAAAUUAUUUUUUUUUAGAAGUAAUUCAAAAAUCUGUUUAACUUUCUGGAGCCAGUUGAUUUCCUGGAUAACCCCUUUAAACUUUUAAUAUGGAAGGGGCUAAUGGGUGUUUGGGCUAAUGGGUGUUUAUUAAGCUUUUAUUUAACUAAAUUAAGCACUUUCUCAAACCGGCAUGAGAAAGCGCUUAAUUGUGUGAAACAUGUAGCCUAUUUUUCUGCCUCCGUCCACAUCUUCGUCUGUAUUAAUGGAUAUUCCAUGAAUUUACAUCUCCAACUAUCAUAACACAGCACAGUGGGUGAGAACGGCUUUUGGUCAUUUCCAUCUUCAUGUCAAGUUAAAAUAAAAUAUGUUGGUAAAUUGUA